rnacentral:lncRNA from 1 species
CUACCAAAAAAUUACAUGAUUUAUUGUAUUUAAUAUUAAGAUGCUAAAAACUUAUUUCUUGAGAUCACUACUGUAUAUGGUAUGACUUUACAUAAAAUACAAAACAGGGAAAGUUAACUCAUCUGUAUUAAAAUUCAGAAGAGCAGUUACCUUCUGAAGGAAGGAAAUAGUAGAAAGACUUCUGGGGUGCUGGUAAUGUCUGGUUCUUGAUCUGAUGUGGCUGGUCUUGUUCUGUGUCCCAGGCUGGAGUGGGGUGGCAUCAUCCUGGCUCACUGCAGCCUCGACCUCCUGGGCUCAAGGAAUCUUCCCACCUCAGCCUUCCAAGUACCCAGGAGUUUCACAAUGUUACCUAGGCUAGUCUUGAACUUCUGAGCACAAGCAAUGCGCCUGCCUCAGCCUCCCAAAGUACUGAGAUUACAGGUGUGAGCAACUCUGCCCAAUCCUCAAAUAACAAGUUUUAAUCAAUUUUAUUACUGCAUGCAUAUAGCGUAUGUGCCCAAUUAUAUUUGAUAUAUUGUGAGCAUGUUGAUGAGAAUGCUGAUGUUUAACAUAAUGAAUAAUUUUUAAUAUUUAAUUAGGACUUACAUCCUGAUUCAGACUCCAGGUUUGUAGCAUCAAUGGUGACUCUCUGCUUAGAUUUUCAUAAACAGAAAAAUCACAAUGCAUUUUAACAGCCCCUGUGGAAUCUAAACGUUUUCCAGAAUUUGACACAGAGUAGGAAUACCAGUUACUGGAUUCAUGUACUUAUCAACAGAGCUGUUGGUGGAAGUUGCAUUGCUUCUAGGUACCAGAGGCUCUUAAAUAGCGCUACUUUUUCAAAGUAAAUCCUUGUUCAUUCUUUGAACUUGUGAUUCCAAUCCAACAAAGACUAUAAUUUGCUUCUGGAAUUGAUGAAAAUUCUGUUUUCAUCAAUACUGUUUUAAUCCUUCAAAAUGUUUAUUACAUGAUGAUUGCCUUCUUCAAAAGAUAUCCAUCCAGUUUGAACACAGACAGCUGUGCUUCUGAAAUUAUCAGGGAUGCUCUGCACUUUGUUUCUCUCUUGAAAUUUUGAAUUCAGUGUACUUCAAUGUUUUGUCACAACUAAGCAUCGUCAUGUGAACAAAAAGCACUGCGACAAUGUGGGCUUCUCAGUCCUUCAUCCCCAAAGUUCUUGAUCUGAGGAGGCAGCUCAUUGAAUCUCAUCAGGUUUCCCCAACUGAGGGCUUAAAAAUAAACAGCAUCUGCCUACACUGAUUUAAGUCCUUCAAAAUAUCUAAUAAACAGAUGAUGGCUGUGAGGACCGGCUUGAAGAACAGUCACAGUUGGAAUCAUUUGCUGCAUUGCAUCACACGUGGACCUGCUUUCAGAGGUCAUAGUCCC